rnacentral:lncRNA from 1 species
CCACCUGCUACUCCUCUCUGAGCUACUUUUCCAGGUUCCACAGGGAGAGGUUCAGCUGUCCAUGGUAGACAUGAGGGUAGAGAAUGAGAUGGUUGGGUUCCACUUACCUUUCUAUCAUCUUGCAGUAUGGAUGUCUCUUGACUGGUACCAUGUAGACUUUUGAGGGCAGACAGGAGUCUGCAGAGAGAUACUGGGGAUAUUGAGCAGCAGCAAUGGGGUUGGGAGGCAGAAAUGAGGACAGGAACAUUUACCUUGUGUUUCUCUCAGCUUCUCAGAUGACCAAGAUGGUGCUGCCGAUGGUGUUGAGGACGGAGAACCCACCAAGCCCCGUUAGGAGCCACCUAGACUGGAUGCAGAGCACAGCCUCAGCACCCGCAGAGCAGACACUGCGAUAACAACGGAGGACACAGAAGUGCCCGCUAUGACUCCAGCACCAGGCCACGCCGCUCUGGAAACUCAAACGCUGAGCGCUGAGACCUCUUCUAGGGCCUCAACCCCAGCCGGCCCCAUUCCAGAAGCAGAGACCAGAGAAGCCAAGAGAAUUUCCCCUGCAAGAGAGACCAGGACUUUCACAAAAACACCUCCCGACUUCAGGGUGCUGAUCGCCACCUCUGUGGAGACAUCAGCCGCCAGUGGCAGCCCCGAGGGAGCUGGAAUGACCACAGUUCAGACUGUCACAGGCAGUGAUCCAGAGGAAGCCAUCUCUGACACCCUUUGCACCGAUGACAGCUCUGAAGAGGCAAAGACACUCACAAUGGACAUAU